rfam:Neosartorya fischeri NRRL 181 1099437636266 genomic scaffold, whole genome shotgun sequence.
ACGUACGACCAUAGGGUGUGGAAAACAGGGCUUCCCGUCCGCUCAGCCGUACUUAAGCCACACGCCGGCCGGUUAGUAGUUGGGUGGGUGACCACCAGCGAAUCCCGGCUGUUGUACGUU